rnacentral:lncRNA from 1 species
CCUAACUUUGAUCAUCCUCACCGACUGUUCCUAGAGCAAGUGGCAAAGAGCUUGGUGUUGGUAUCCGAGACCCAAAUUCGAAUCCUAGUUGAUUCACAUUUUUAGCUAAGUUUAUUUCUAAAUGAAAUAAAACGAAACGGAUAGCGUGCUACCUAUCUCUCUCGAANUCUCGAAAAAAAAAAAAAAAAAACUUUGAUCAUCCUCAUCUCUUUUUUCU